rnacentral:rRNA from 1 species
UGGGGAAUUUUGGACAAUGGGCGAAAGCCUGAUCCAGCAAUGCCGCGUGUGUGAAGAAGGCCUUCGGGUUGUAAAGCACUUUUGUCCGGAAAGAAAUCCUUGGCUCUAAUACAGUCGGGGGAUGACGGUACCGGAAGAAUAAGCACCGGCUAACUACGUGCCAGCAGCCGCGGUAAUACGUAGGGUGCAAGCGUUAAUCGGAAUUACUGGGCGUAAAGCGUGCGCAGGCGGUUUGCUAAGACCGAUGUGAAAUCCCCGGGCUCAACCUGGGAACUGCAUUGGUGACUGGCAGGCUAGAGUAUGGCAGAGGGGGGUAGAAUUCCACGUGUAGCAGUGAAAUGCGUAGAGAUGUGGAGGAAUACCGAUGGCGAAGGCAGCCCCCUGGGCCAAUACUGACGCUCAUGCACGAAAGCGUGGGGAGCAAACAGGAUUAGAUACCCCUGGUAGUCCACGCCCUAAACGAUGUCAACUAGUUGUUGGGGAUUCAUUUCCUUAGUAACGUAGCUAACGCGUGAAGUUGACCG